rnacentral:rRNA from 1 species
CCGCCGCCACUCCCAUUCGCUCGUCUCCUCCAACCCUAAGCGAUGACGAAGGGUACCGGCAGUUUCGGCAAGCGCCGGAACAAGACCCACACGCUCUGCAUCCGCUGCGGCCGCCGCAGCUUCCACCUCCAGAAGAGCACCUGCUCCUCGUGCGGCUACCCCGCCGCCCGCAUCCGCAAGUACAACUGGAGUGUGAAAGCCAUCAGGCGCAAGACCACCGGCACUGGAAGGAUGAGGUACAUGCGCCACGUGCCUCGCAGGUUCAAGAGCAACUUCAGAGAAGGUACCGAGGCUGCCCCCAGGAACAGGGCCGCGGCCAACUAGGUCUGGAUUUUGCCCCAGCAGGAAUCCCGUGAAGCUAGAAUUUAAAGACUUUUGCUUGGAUUGUACCCCACCUAAACUAUUGUUGCUAUAGAAUUGAGUAUGG